rnacentral:rRNA from 1 species
UACAGAGGGGGCAAGCGUUAUUCGGAAUUACUGGGCGUAAAGAGCUCGUAGGUGGUUUGUCACGUUGUUCGUGAAAACUCACAGCUUAACUGUGGGCGUGCGGGCGAUACGGGCAGACUGGAGUACUGCAGGGGAGACUGGAAUUCCUGGUGUAGCGGUGGAAUGCGCAGAUAUCAGGAGGAACACCGGUGGCGAAGGCGGGUCUCUGGGCGAGUAAACUG